GCAGGUACAAUCGGAUAUCUUAGAUAAAAGAGUAAGAAAUCCACCUAAGUAGAUGGAGUGAAGAAUGAUUGCACACAGAAACCUUCCCACGCAGCCAAGGUGCCUUCCUGCGCAGCCAAGUAGCUUUCCCGUGCAGCCGCGCAGCCAAACCAGAGCAGCGCAGUCGAGCUGCACAGCCAGACCAGAGCAGCGCAGACCAGAGCAGACCAGUGCACCGCGGACCAGAGCAGAGCAGCGCAGACCAAAGCAGCGCGGCAGCGCUGCGCAGUCAGAGCAGCGCCACCAAAGUGCCUUUCCUGCGCAGCUACGUGUGAUAGUUCAACUUCGGGAAUAAGACCGUUGUACUGAGUUUUGGGCCCAAUUGACUAGAUGAGUGGGCUUUUAGAAUUAGGGUUUGCUCACAAACUAUAAAUAGCACAUCUAUUGGAAAACUA
rnacentral:lncRNA from 1 species